rnacentral:rRNA from 1 species
UAGGGAAUCUUCGGCAAUGGACGAAAGUCUGACCGAGCAACGCCGCGUGAGUGAAGAAGGUUUUCGGAUCGUAAAACUCUGUUGGUAGAGAAGAACGUUGGUGAGAGUGGAAAGCUCAUCAAGUGACGGUAACUACCCAGAAAGGGACGGCUAACUACGUGCCA